rnacentral:rRNA from 1 species
GUGCCAGCAGCCGCGGUAAUACGAAAGGGUGCAAGCGUUACUCGGAAAUUACUGGGCGUAAAGCGUGCGUAGGUGGUCGUUUAAGUCCGUUGUGAAAGCCCUGGGCUCAACUUGGGAACUGCAGUGGAUACUGGGCGACUAGAAUGUGGUAGAGGGUAGCGGAAUUCCUGGUGUAGCAGUGAAAUGCGUAGAGAUCAGGAGGAACAUCCAUGGCGAAGGCAGCUACCUGGACCAACAUUGACACUGAGGCACGAAAGCGUGGGGAGCAAACAGGAUUAGAUACCCUGGUAGUCC